rnacentral:rRNA from 1 species
UACGUAGGGUGCGAGCGUUGUCCGGAAUUAUUGGGCGUAAAGAGCUUGUAGGCGGUUUGUCGCGUCUGCUGUGAAAAUCCGGGGCUCAACCCCGGACUUGCAGUGGGUACGGGCAGACUAGAGUGUGGUAGGGGAGACUGGAAUUCCUGGUGUAGCGGUGAAAUGCGCAGAUAUCAGAAGGAACACCGAUGGCGAAGGCAGGUCUCUGGGCCACUACUGACGCUGAGAAGCGAAAGCAUGGGGAGCGAACAGGAUUAGAUA